rnacentral:tRNA from 1 species
CCGCCCAUAGCUCAGUUGGUAGAGCAGCUCGCUUUUAACGAGAAGGUCGGGGGUUCGAUUCCCUCUGGGCGGA